rnacentral:tRNA from 1 species
GGGUGUGCCUCAGUGGUAGAGCACUUGCCUGGCAUGCAUGAGGCUCAGUGUUCCAUUCCCUGAACUCCCA